ensembl:lncRNA
GUUCAGGGGAUGCUCUGUACAGAUCCCCCCCUCAGUGUCCAGCAUCAGUUCCCUCCUGAAACACCCCACCUAUCUCAAGUUGUUACUCUGCAAUACUGCUUAAUACACUGAUACUUCUGCCCAUUAAGAGCAUCUUAGUACAGCUGUAGAUGAAGGCUUGACUAUGUUGGCUUAUCACCUGGACUGUCUUUGCUGUUCAACGUGCUGCAGGGCAGGGGCCAUGCCAGUGGUGUUUCAGCGGCUCAGGUGUGGAGGGAUCUAUUUGUGGCAGAAGUCAUUUUCUUCAGGCCAUUUCUCAGAUUUUUGAAGAAAAGUGACAAAUUGUAGCAAAGCUAUUUCCGAGUUUCCAAGUUUGCUCAGCCUGGUGUGUUGGGCUUGCAGGCUGCUUUGUCCUUUCGGCCUGAGUAGCUUUAAUUCAUGCCCUGGACCAGGCACAGGGGCACGGUGCAGCCUGACUGUGGGUGGAGAUAUUCAUCUGCCUGAGGGGAAUCGGGUUCCUCGUUCUUACCUCCUGCCGGCUCUGGGAUUUUCAUGGAGUGAACUCCUGUACCUCCAGGAGAUUUGUUUAGGCUGAAUUACUCGGCGUGUGAGAGCUGAUGAUGUGGCAGCCUGUUGAUGACAAUGGGGAAUUAACAAUGCAGCAGGUGUGGCGAAGUUUAAAAGCGUACCCAAGGGUCUUCUGCUGGCGGUGGAAUUCCGGAGUGCAAUGUUCACGCUAGUACUGUCACAGCUCCCCUCAGAGCGUCAGUGCAGAUUGUUCAAUCUCUCAAUUUUACCUCUCUUAAAUGGUUCUUUAACUUCAAGCUGCGCGUUAUAACUGCGCUGUUUGCAAGGACAAUGAUGUCAAAGUCCCUCUAAUUACCCCAAGAUGAAGUGUGUCCUCUGCUUUCUUUCUGAGGAGAUGAAAGCAACAUUCAAAGAGACCCACUUGGUACCGGAGCGUUUUUCAAGGCAAUCAACUUUUCCAAGCUCUUUUCCCCCCAAGCAAUCUAAAUGCUAAAUAGAUAUUUAAAAUAAUUACCAUAUCUAAGACGAGGAGCCAUUUUUCCCUGCAAACACCUGAUGCCCAUUAGCAACAUUUAACGUGUCACACCCCACCUCUGUAUACUCCGAAGUUUCAUGGCAGGAGUUUGUCACAUAUCUGCAAGUACUGAGCUUAUGCUGAAAAAUCUGAGAAAGCUCUAGAGCACAAGUUCUCUGUCCUGAGAGGGAAAAGGUCUGUAUUUCAUCAGAACUCUUCCAUUUCUCCCCUCCCAUUUUCAUGUUGAUCUUGUUAAAAAUAAAUAGUGCCAGUGAACUACACCAGCCUGGCAGCAGUGUAAGCCAGGUACCCAAAUCAGAGAUGAGUUUAGCCCGGAGCAGCAGGAUUGUAGAAAACUUGGCUUCUGUCUUUGCAGCUUCUCUUUCCCAGGUUAGAACAGGAUACAGCUGGGUCACUGGUGGGUACUUGCAGCAUCCCAGAGCCCUUGGCAGGGCCAGCAGCUGCCAGCACAGCUGGAGCCCCCUUGUCCAGGGACAUCUGUAGCACCUGCUGAAAUCCCCCAGGGCUGCCACAAGGCUCGUGCAGUGGCUUUCCCACCGUGAACAGAGUCCUGCUGGGGAAAUCCAUAGGAGAGGGCUGCUCACUGUACCUCAUAUGGCUGUCAGGAAUCACCCCCACCCUUGUACCAAUGCAGUAUAAACAGACUCUGGGAAACUGGGGUUUCUCAAGGUGGUGCUGCUCUUGGCUCUGCCUGCUAAAGCUCUUCUCCUUUGGAAUUCAUAAUAAAGCUUGGUGUAUGGUUCUAACCUAGUGGUUGAAGAUCUUUCGGUCUCUGGAGCGAGGCCUGGAGUCCAAGAUUACUUCAGGAAUUACUUUGCAUUUUUAUUCAGCAACUAUUUAAUUUCAAGCUCAUAAACAGCCUUUGGAACAGUGCCUGGAACUAAAGACCUUUCUGUAAAUAUCCCAGCUGCUUCGAGAAAACUAUAAUUACUUUCCCUCUGGUGCAGGUCAUCCUCAGAUUUUCCAUACCAAGGAUUUCAAAA